GACGAACGCUGGCGGCGUGCUUAACACAUGCAAGUCGAACGGUAAGGCCCUUCGGGGUACACGAGUGGCGAACGGGUGAGUAACGCGUGAGUAACCUGCCCUUCACUCUGGGAUAACAGUUGGAAACGGCUGCUAAUACCGGAUAUUCAGCUCCUGUCGCAUGGUGGGGGUUGGAAAGUUUUGGUGGUGGAGGAUGGGCUCGCGUCCUAUCAGCUUGUUGGUGGGGUGAUGGCCUACCGAGGCGUCGACGGGUAGCCGGCCUGAGAGGGCGACCGGCCACAUUGGGACUGAGAUACGGCCCAAACUCCUACGGGAGGCAGCAGUGGGGAAUAUUGCACAAUGGGCGGAAGCCUGAUGCAGCAACGCCGCGUGCGGGAUGACGGCCUUCGGGUUGUAAACCGCUUUCAGCAGGGACGAAGCGCAAGUGACGGUACCUGCAGAAGAAGCACCGGCUAACUACGUG
rnacentral:rRNA from 1 species